rnacentral:rRNA from 1 species
ACAAUGUAGAGUUUGAUCCUGGCUCAGGAUGAACGCUAGCUACAGGCUUAACACAUGCAAGUCGAGGGGCAGCAUGAAGGAAGCUUGCUUCCUUUGAUGGCGACCGGCGCACGGGUGAGUAACGCGUAUCCAACCUGCC